rnacentral:tRNA from 1 species
UGGUCGAUCAUGAGGAUCCCAUAUAGCGGACUCAUAAUCCGUUGGUCGAUGGUUCAAGCCCAUCACGGCCUACCA